rnacentral:rRNA from 1 species
ACGCCGCGUGAGGGAUGACGGCCUUCGGGUUGUAAACCUCUUUCAGCAGGGAAGAAGCGAAAGUGACGGUACCUGCAGAAGAAGCGCCGGCUAACUACGUGCCAGCAGCCGCGGUAAUACGUAGGGCGCAAGCGUUGUCCGGAAUUAUUGGGCGUAAAGAGCUCGUAGGCGGUUUGUCGCGUCUGCUGUGAAAACGCGAGGCUCAACCUCGCGCCUGCAGUGGGUACGGGCAGACUAGAGUGCGGUAGGGGAGACUGGAAUUCCUGGUGUAGCGGUGGAAUGCGCAGAUAUCAGGAGGAACACCGGUGGCGAAGGCGGGUCUCUGGGCCGUAACUGACGCUGAGGAGCGAAAGCAUGGGGAGCGAACAGGAUUAGAUACCUUGGGUAGUCA